rnacentral:ncRNA from 1 species
UCUUAUCAAGAGCAGGUGGAGGGACGAGCCCUAUGAAGCCCGGCAACCGACUUAACAAUCGUUAAGCACGGUGCUAAUUCUUGCAGCGAUAUGCUGAGAGAUAAGA